AUACGUAGGGAGCGAGCGUUGUCCGGAAUUACUGGGCGUAAAGGGUGCGUAGGCGGCAGGGCAAGUCAGAUGUGAAAUCCCCGGGCUUAACUCGGGAGUUGCAUUUGAAACUGCUUUGCUUGAGUGCAGGAGAGGAAAGCGGAAUUCCUAGUGUAGCGGUGAAAUGCGUAGAUAUUAGGAGGAACACCAGUGGCGAAGGCGGCUUUCUGGACUGUAACUGACGCUGAGGCACGAAAGCGUGGGGAGCAAACAGGAUGAGAUACCCUGGUAGUCCACGCCGUAAACGAUGGAUACUAGGUGUGGGGGAGAUACAACCUCCGUGCCGGAGCAAACGCAAUAAGUAUCCCGCCUGGGGAGUACGGUCGCAAGGCUGAA
rnacentral:rRNA from 1 species